GGUGCAGUGCAAGUGUCCAAUAGGAUGAGACGGUGGAGUGACGGUUGGGGAUGCUCGCGGAUAGAAACAAAGACAGGGAGACGUUUGAAACUUCGUGCGGGUAGGGAAAAGUGUGAUUAUUGUUCUGAAAGAGCCUACUGUUCAAAGUCAAAGUCGUCGUUGGGACAUGGUAACAACUGCAUGUUGUUAUGUUUCGGAUGGGAUAGUCAAGUUGGGGAAUGGGAUGGGUUCAAACUCCUGAUUAGCAACCGUCGACCCUCGAGAGAGAGGGAAAUCAAUGCAGUUCCCCAGCUGUGUCUUCACCUCCUCCAGCGUCCAACGGACUUCAACUGACAAAAUCCAGGCCCAUGGUGAUGCAUAGCCGGAUUCUUCAUCUCAAGCUCAAUGGGUCAUCACUAGCUGUGCUCCCACACUCCGACCGUCAUCACGCUAUGAGGGAUGGUGAAUUCUCUGAAAAAGGUAA